rnacentral:rRNA from 1 species
GGCUCAGGAUGAACGCUAGCGGCAGGCUUAAUACAUGCAAGUCGUGGGGCAGCACAGGGUAGCAAUACUUGGGUGGCGACCGGCAAACGGGUGCGGAACACGUACGCAACCUUCCUUCAGGCGGGGAAUAGCCCAGAGAAAUUUGGAUUAAUACCCCAUAAGAUUUUGAGAUGGCAUCAUCUUAUUAUUAAAGAUUUAUCACCUGAAGAUGGGCGUGCGGCUGAUUAGGUAGUUGGCGGGGUAACGGCCCACCAAGCCUACGAUCAGUAGCUGAUGUGAGAGCAUGAUCAGCCACACGGGCACUGAGACACGGGCCCGACUCCUACGGGAGGCAGCAGUAAGGAAUAUUGGUCAAUGGACGCAAGUCUGAACCAGCCAUGCCGCGUGGAGGAUGAAGGUCCUCUGGAUUGUAAACUUCUUUUAUCUGGGACGAAAAAAGGGUUUUCUAACUCGUCUGACGGUACCAGAUGAAUAAGCACCGGCUAACUCCGUG